rnacentral:lncRNA from 1 species
AGGGCGCGGAGGAGGCGCCGGGAGAAGCUGCGGGAAGGCAGAGGAGGGUGCAGCUCUGCGCGGGUCCCCUGGAGAGACGCCUCCUCAUAACCCGGCUCACGGCCGCAGAGGCGGCCCACCGCGUCCAGGCGCCCCCGGUCCCUCGGUGCCCUCCAACCGCCGCGCCUCAGACCAUGCCGG